AAAGCAUUGAAGUAUGAGUUCACUUCAAAUUCGAGGAAGUUCAGAAAGUAAGAAGAAAGCAAGAAAACUAAGAGAUGCUGGCUGAGACCUACUAAUUGUCACACCUCUUGUACAGUGGGGGCAGCUGUUGUCUGCUGAUUGGUCGGUUUGAAUAUCUCAGAUUUGGUUUAAGUCACAUGGUCAAGGAUAAAUGAAGAAUGUAACCUGUGUGCUCUCUCUCUUUCAUCUCUGGGCUCUACUCUUGGAUUGUCCUCUUCCUCUCUAACUGAGCUCGGCCUGGGUUGAAGGUCACUGAGCUAGACUCAUGUCCCUCAUGGCAUCUCUCUCUAUACUUCUCAUGUGUUAAAGCUACAUUUUCUCUUUUUCAUUCUAUAUCUCAGUAUACCAAACCAAGAUUUACCGGCUCUCACAUUGCUGCAGCAAAACCGAAUCUUAAUGUGGCCAGGAGACCUUCCCAGGUUGAAGACCAGCCCAGCGCAGCAGUGUCUAGUGCCUCUAUACCAAGCACCACUGUCUCUACACCAGAUGCUCAAGUUCCAGCCCCUGUCCCCAGAGCCACUGCAG